rnacentral:rRNA from 1 species
AGGAUGUUGGCUCAGAAGCAGCCACCAUUUAAAGAGUGCGUAAUAGCUCACUAGUCGAGUGAUCCUGCGCCGAAAAUGUACCGGGGCUAAGCAUACUACCGAAACCAUGGAUGCGACCAUUAGGUCGCGUGAUAGGAGAGCGUUCUAAGGGCGGUGAAGCAAGAUCGUGAGGACUUGUGGAGCGCUUAGAAGUGAGAAUGCCGGUAUGAGUAGCGAAAGAUAGGUGAGAAUCCUAUCCACCGAAUGACUAAGGUUUCCUGGGGAAGGCUCGUCCUCCCAGGGUUAGUCGGGACCUAAGUCGAGGCCGAGAGGCGUAGACGAUGGAUAACAGGUUGAGAUUCCUGUACUAGUUAAGUGCGUUUGAGCAAUGGAGGGACGCAGGAGGCUAAGAUGUGCAUUCUGUUGGAUUAGAAUGUCCAAGCAGUAAGUCUUGUGAAGAGUCAAAUGCUUUUCACUUUAAGGACAAGCUGUGAUGGGGAGCGAAAUUUAGUAGCGAAGCGUCUGAUGUCACACUGCCGAGAAAAGCUUCUAGUGAGUACUUAACUACCCGUACCGCAAACCGACACAGGUAGUCGAGGAGAGAAUCCUAAGGUGAGCGAGUGAACUCUC